CUCGUAGGCGGCUUGACAAGUCGGACGUGAAAACCCGGGGCUCAACCCCGGGACGCCGUUCGAAACUGUCAUGGCUAGGGUCCGGUAGAGGUGAGUGGAAUUCUAGGUGUAGCGGUGAAAUGCGCAGAUAUCUAGAGGAACACCAGUAGCGAAGGCGGCUCACUGGGCCGGUACCGACGCUGAGGAGCGAAAGCAUGGGGAGCAAACA
rnacentral:rRNA from 1 species